rnacentral:rRNA from 1 species
UAACCGCCGGAAACGGUGGCUAAUACUGGAUAGGUGCCAAGGCCGCAUGGUCUUUGGUUGGAAAGAUUUUCGGUUCUGGAUCGGCUCGCGGCCUAUCAGCUUGUUGGUGGGGUAAUGGCCUACCAAGGCGACGACGGGUAGCCGGCCUGAGAGGGUGACCGGCCACACGUGGGACUGAGACACGGCCCAG